AAAAAAAAAAAAAAAAAGUUUCCUAGGCACGUCAACAUCAGAAUAGGGAGGGGCAUGAGAGUAUAUUGUAACUGUGGCCCACCAAAAAGAACGCGCGGACAGAUAAGGUUUAAUAAGAAUCUGAAGUUGGAAGUGGAAUGCAGGUGCAGAAACAAUGCUCUAUAAAUGAAUUGUGCCAAUUAGAAUUCUGAGGCACAAUGAUUUGCUUGGCCUGUGAAUUCCUACAUAAAGGAAGUGGAGGAGAUUGUCACCUUCAACAAUUUCUUUUUAUAGGAAUUAAGAAAAGAAGACAGAGACAAAAUGAGGAGGAAGUGGAGGAGCUCUUAAUUGACUUAAACGGGAGAUGUAGUUAGAGAACCAUUAAGUAAAACAACAAAAAGCUGUCUAAGGUAACAAGGUAUAGAUUAGCAUGAAACGCAAAAACAACGAACUCAGAAACGUCAGGCUGCUUUAAGUCACAUGACACAAUAGCAUACAACAAAAAGAAUCUGGCAUAGUCUAUU
rnacentral:misc_RNA from 1 species